rnacentral:rRNA from 1 species
UACGGAGGGUGCGAGCGUUGUCCGGAAUCACUGGGCGUAAAGGGCGCGUAGGCGGCCUGAUAAGUAGGGGGGUGAAAUCCUGCGGCUUAACCGCAAGGCUGCCUUCUAAACUGUCGGGCUCGAGCACAGUAGAGGCAGGUGGAAUUCCCGGUGUAGCGGUGGAAUGCGUAGAGAUCGGGAAGAACAUCAGUGGCGAAGGCGGCCUGCUGGGCUGUUGCUGACGCUGAGGCGCGACAGCGUGGGGAGCAAACAGG